rnacentral:rRNA from 1 species
CUCGCCGGCGAGCCGCGCGGCGGGACAUAACACAAAUCGACACUCCACACCACCAGGGCGAGAGCUGCAGCCUACUACAGCCGGCGCAAGCCGGUCGUGCGAUGUCGCAACCUCAACCAAACUAAGCAAACAAAGGACUCUGACUAAGUCAUUUAUUAAAACCAGAUUCACAACGAUGGAUAUCUUGGUUCCCAUUACGAUGAAGAGCGCAGCGAAGUGCGAUAAGCAAUGCGAAUUGCAGAACCGUGAGUCAUCAGAUUUUUGAACGCAACUGGCGCUAGAUGGCUAUCCAUCUAGCAUGCUUGUUUCAGUGUCUUUUUAUUUCCUAACCGAAAUCAUAAUGCGAGAGAUACCCUUCUCUUGUUAAGCAUGAAAGCACUCUGCGCUCUGCGAGCGACUUCGAUUUAUCGAGGGUCGCACUCAAUGCAGCAGUCACAUUGUUUACAGUGUGAACUCAUUGAGAGUAGAGGCAGUGCGGUGUAACAACUGCCAGUGCUUAGACACUCAUAACUUUCUUUGUAUCUGAAAUCAAGCAGGAUCACCCGCUGAACUUAAGCAUAUCAAUAAGCGGGAGGGAAUAACAAGCCUAGAUUUUAGGAUA